UAAGAAUUAGGAAGCUCAAUCAGAGCUUAGAGAGAGUUAGAGUGUAGAGAGAAAAUAAACAGUUUUGAGAGUUUGUAUUUUUUAUUUUAUUUUUGUAGUAAAUUUUUGAUCUCUUUCCGUAAUUUUUUUCAGUUGGGUUUCUACGUAAAAUUCUGAUAUUAUUAUUUUUUAUAUCUCAUACACUAGUGUGUUUGUAUUUAUCUUAGUGUAUUUGUGUAAGCCUAAUUUCACAAUAUAUACUUGUGAAUUGGUGAAAUAAAAAAGAAGAGAAAAGCUUCCUUUUAUAGAAUUUUCAAGCUUUAGGGUAGUAGGGUUCAAUAUAAUUUGAUCGGGUGAGAUCGAAUACUCUUAGAGUAAAGAGAUUAGAUUAAUUUUUGCUUUAGACCAUCUCCCAUCCGUAGCUAACAAAUUUGUUCAAAUUAAACCUUUCUUUCUCUCAACUUUGGCCGGGUAAAGAAAGAGGGAGUAUUCUCAUUUUGCUAGCUAAAAUUUCUUCCAUGUGAGCUUUAAAAGAUUUGGCUUGAAGUCGGCUCAAAAAGGCUUAUUUAUAAAAAUGACCCAAAAUGAAGUAAAGCUUAAAUUUUCUAAGUUAUUUUUAUAUAAAAAAAAAUGAGAUUUUUUGACGAUCAUUUUAAUAAACUCUCUUGCCUUCGGAAAUGUUAUAGAAAUAUACUCUUAUAAUUGCUGCAUAAAUUUAGAGAGAAUAAGUAAGAGAGAAAAGAGAGAAAUUCUUCAGAGAGAAUUCUUAUUAUUUCCUUCAACUUUCAUUCUUUUAUAUAGGAGAAGAAUAAGAAGAGGUGUAUGAGAGAAGCCAUCAGGAAGUGUAUGAGAGAAGCCAUCAGGAGGUGUAUGAGAGAAGUCAUCAAGAAGUGUAUGAGAGAAGCCAUCAAGAGAAUCGUGAGGGAAUCAUAUUAUAACACUUCCCUUGAUUUCCUACGAUAGAAGAUUAUGUCUCAUUAAAAACCUUGUUAAGAAAACCCAGUGGGAAAAACGUAACGAAGGAAAAAAGAGUACAUAUCUUUUACAUAAAUAUCUUAAUUGACUGCCUCAUUAAAACCUUGUCAGGAAAAACCCAUUGGGAUAAAAACCGUGACUAAGGAAAAAGAGUACAGUCUUCCCCUCAAAAGGGAUUCAUUACUCCUUGAUGAAAUGUUGUCAUAAGUCUUUCAGUCGACACAUUCCGAUCCUUUUCCGAAGUUUUGCAAAAGUUGCAUUUGGUAGUGACUUUGUGAAUAAGUCGGCUGGAAUAUCACAUGAUCGAAUUUGGUGCACAUCAAUAUCACCAUUCUUUUGUAGCUCAUGUGUGAAGAAGAAUUUAGGUGAAAUGAGCUUUGUUCAAUCUCCCUUGAUGUACCUUCCUCUAAGUUGAGCAAUACGUACAUCGUUAUAUUCAUAUAGAAUUGUAUGAAUGUCUUUGAUUGAUGUUAAUCCACAUGACUUUUGAAUAUGCUGAAUAAUUGAUCUCAACCAAACACACUCUCUACUUGCUUCAUGUAUAGCGAGAAUCUCAGAGUGAUUUGAAGAUGUAGCUGUCAUGGUUUGCUUUGUGGAUUUCCAGGAUAUAGCUGUGUCACAAUAUGUAAAUACAUAACCUGUUUGUGAUCUUCCAUUGUGUGGAUCUGAUAAAUAUCCCGCAUCGGCAUAUCCAACCAAUUGCGACUUUGAAUUUCUUGGAUAAAAUAACCCAAGAUCUAUACUUCCACGGAGGUAUCUAAAUAUGUGUUUGAUCCCAUCCCAAUGUCUCUUAGUCGGAGAAGAACUGUAUGUAUCUUGCAAAGAGACAAGCAAGAGAGGAUAAAAUAAGAGAGAAAUAUGGAGAAACCUUCAAUCUUCUUCCACAGGACUUAGGCAUGGAACUUCAGGUCCAAGAACUUUUUCUAUUGUACUUACGCAUGGAGCUUCAAGUCCAAGAACUUCUUCCAUUGUACUUAGGCAUGGAACUUCAGGUCCAAGAACUUCUUCCAUUGUACUUAGGCAUGGAACUUCAGGUCCAAGAACUUCUUCCCCGCUUUCUAGAUGCUGAAAUGGAUCUUUAUCAACUUCUAAAGAUCGAACAACCAUCGGGGUAGUCAAAAGAUGAGCUUUAUCCAUAUGAAAACGACUGAAAAUCUUUUCAGCAUAUGUGUAUUGAUGAGCAAAAAUUCCAGAUGCUAAAUGCUCCACUUGUAUUCCCAAAUAGAAUUUUGUCUUUCCAAGAUCUUUCAUUUCAAAUUCAUCUUUUAGAUAAGUAGCAGUUCUUGUGAGUUCUUCAGGAGUACCUACAAAAUUCAAAUCAUCCACAUAUACAAUAAUGAUGGAAAAAAAUCACUUUGUGAUAUCUUAAUAAAAACACAUGGACAUACAUGAUCAUUUAUAUAUCCAUCUUUUAUUAAAUAUUCACUAAGUCGAUUAUACCACAUAUGACCAGACUAUUUCAAUUUAUAUAAUGAGCAUUAUAACUCGAUUGAAUAUAUGUGAUGGGGCUUUUAUGAUUCAGCCAUUUUCAAUCCUUCAGGGAUUCUUAUGUAAAUCUCACUUCAAGUGAGUCAUAUAGGUAUGCUGUUACAACAUCUAUCAGACGUGUUUCCAAACCUUCCAUGGUUUUCAUACCUAUCACAAAGCGAAAAGUGACUCUAUCCAUUACGUACUGGAGAGUCUGUAUCUUGAUAAUCAAUAUCAGAUUUUUGUGAAAAACCCUUGAGCUACAAGUCGGGCUUUAUAUCUCACAAUUUCAUUUUUCUCAUUUCGCUUUCGUACAAAUACUCAUUUGUUUUCAACCGGGAUUACACCCAGCGGUGUUUGAACUACUGGUCCAAAUAUAUACUUCUCUUUUCAAUAGAGAUUUUAUUUCCAACCGGGACUUCACCCAGCGGUGUUUGGACUACUGGUCCAAAUACUUCUCUUUUCAAUAGAGAUUGUAGCUCUGUUUGAAUAGCAUCUUUAUAUUUUGGCCAAUCUUUUCUUUUCCGACAUUCUUCCACGUUUUGUGGUUCAGGAUCCGUGUCAGGAAUCAAAGUAAUAUCUGAUGCUAUAGAGAAAGCAAAUAUAUCGUCAAUCAUGACUUUGCUUCGAUCCCAUAUUUUCUCAUCAUGUACAUAAUUUAUUGAGAUCUCUUGGUGUUCAUCUCUUAUCCCUUUACUGAGAUUUUGAACCUCUUCUGGGGCUAUUCCCACUCUUGGAAUAUGUGUUUCUUCUAGAGCGAUUUGUACCUCUUCUGGGGCUAUUUCCACUCUUGGAAUAAGUGCUACUUCUGGAGUGGGUAUUCCUUCAGGGAUCCCCUUAUUUGCUUUUAAUUUUUGUGGUACAGUGUCUUUUGCACCAACCGGUCUUCCACGCUUCUGGCGUGGUUUAGAUUCUUCUAUUACCUUAUUCGUCAAUUCUCCAGGAAUUGAUUUUUCAAUAGGUAUUUCUAUCUUUGCUGGAGUAUUCACUGCAGGUGUAUGUGAUUUUAUCACUUUUCUUGCAUCAUUAAAUGCAUCUGGCAUUUGAUUUGCAAUAUUUUGUAAAUGAAUAAUUCUUUGAACUUCAAUUUUACAUUGUCCUGUAUGAGGAUCAAGUGAAUUUAAAUCUGAUGCAUUCCAUGAUAUUUCAGGGGGUUUUUUUUUUAUUUAAAACUUUCCCUCCACCUAAUGUUGGAAAUACAGAUUCAUCAAAAUGACAAUCUACAUAACGUGCAGUAAAAACAUCUCCAGUUAAAGGUUCAAGAUAUCUAAUAAUAGAAGGUUAAUCAAAACCAACAUAAAUACCUAUUCUUCGUUGGGCUCCCAUUUUAGUUCUUUGUGGAGGUGCAAUUGGAACAUAUACCACACUUUCAAAAACUUGAAAGUGUGAUAUGUUGGGUGUCUAUCCAAGAACUAAUUGUAGAAGAGAAAAUUUAUAAAGAGUCGUUCGUCUUACCCGAAUGAUGACUUCAGCAUGAAGAAUUGCAUGACCCCAAACUGAGGUAGACAAGUUAGCCCUUAACAUUAAUGGGCGUGCAAUUAGUUGAAGUAUCUAUUAAAACUAUGAAAUAUCAAAAUGCGCUAGACAAUGGGUGAAUAGGUCCACAAAUGUCUCCUUGAAUUCCCUCUAAGAAUUUUGGGACUUCUUUAAAAACUUUUGUUGGUGAUGGUCGAACAAUUAAUUUUCCUCAAGAACACGCAGCACAAGGAAAUUUACUACUGGGGAAAACCUUCUUAUUUUUGAGAGGAUGACCAAAAGAAUUUUCAAUAAUACGACACAUCAUAGAAGUACCUGGAUGAUCGAGUCUUUCAUGCCAAAGUAUAAAGGAUUUGGGAUCUAUGAUUUUUGGAAUCACAAGAGUAUGAGACUCAAUUGCUCUAAUUUUCAUAGUAUAUAAUCCGGAAGAUAUUUAAUGAGGUUUUUCUAGGAUAUUCUAUUUUUCAGAAAUAGUAGAACUGACAAGAAGAUCUUCAUUAAAGAUGGUCUGACACAUGUAAAAACAUAAAUAAGAAAUAUUAUUCAUGAAAAACACAUACCACGUAUAGAACGAAAACUAAUAAUAUUAUAUGUGCAGGGUGUUUAAUUAAAACAAAAAUUAAACGUUAUCCCAAAAUAUACUUUCAGAAGGUCCAGUAAUAUCAAUAACCUUUUUCUCAUUGUUGGUCAUUGGUGGAUCAUCAACAAUAUUCAUUUGAUGAUUAACAAAGUUUGUUUAUACCUCUAUUACUUUAUUCUUUUGAGACUCCUGGAAUAAAUUAACCAGAUGCCUCGGCGUACGACAGGUACGCGACCAAUGCCUUUCAUCCCACACCUAAAACAAACAUCUGGUUUGUUCUUAUAUCUGUGUUGCAUUUUCUUUAUUUUUACCCAACUCAGACACUUGCCACUUCUGGUGGCUUAAAUUGUCGCGGUUCUAGAAUUUGUUGUUAUGAUGGCCUCGUUUAUUCUUUCGCCCCCAAGGCUUCUUAUUAUAUGGCCAUUUAUAGUCACGUUUAUUCUGCUGGAAUGACGUGCUAUUAAUAUCCGGCAAUGGGGUAACACCCGUUGGCCGUACUUGAUAGUUUUUCAACAACAAUUCAUUAUUCUUUUCUGCAACAAGGAGGAUAGUCAAUAAGUCACUAAAUUUUGUGAACUUACUCUGUCUAUAUUGUUCUGACAGAAUCAUGUUGGUGGGAUGAAAAGUUGAGAGAGUUUUUUUUUUCUUUAACAUUUGGGUAUCAGAAACUGGAUCUCCACAUAAAGUCAAAAAUAGAUGUUUAUUCUAUAAACCUUAGAACUAUAUUACGUAAUUGUCUUUUCUAACUCAUUUGCACUAAGAUGCAAUUCUGCAUCAAGUGCCCAAACCAAAUAGUUGUCUCAAGGGAUUUUAAAAUAGAAAAAUCUCUUUUUUUUUUUACCAAGUUUGCCAUCUAUUCUGGGUUAAAACACAAUUCUAUUAUUUAUUAAAACAAUAAAUAAUUGCAUGUAUGAUAUAGAAAAAAUAAAUAAAUUAUGAUCACGACUUCAGGUGGUGAUAAAGUGUAAAUAUAAAUAAUUUUAUAUUUAUAUUAUUAGCAUAUUAUUUUAGUAAAAAGAAUAUGCAAUCGUUAAUGUAUAUAUACAAUUACAAAAUAUAUAUAUAUAUACAAAAUUGCAAAUGGAUCUUUACCCGCAAUGCGGUAAUCCACGUAGACAUAUUAUUUCCAUAAUUUAAUAAGGAAUGAAUAUAAAGGAUCAUUCACCAUGCAUGUGGUAAUCCACAUAGACAGGUUAUUCCAACAGAAUAAUAAAUGCGGAAUAAUAAAUGAUGGAACCAGGUCCGGCGUAUAGCACAGACAGGAUAUUCCGACAAAAAUAUAUAAAGACGAAAUAGUAAAAUGGAACCAGGUCCGGUGUAAAACACACAGACAGGAUAUUCCGACAUAAUAUUAAAUGCGAAAAUAAUAAAAAGAUUUCACCAAGUACAGGGUAUGCCACUUAUACAGGUUAUGUAUAGGGUAUGCCGCGUAUACAGGUUAUUCCAACAAUUUAAUAAGCGAUAAAAAGUUCCCACCAAGUCUUGUAAGAUUAACAAGGAUAGAUGGUACCAUUAUAAAUAACAGAAUUUAAAUGCAAUUAUAAAAAUAAAAUUAUAUUAUUGGUGGUAUAGCCCAACCAGUAGUAUAAUAAUAAAUUGCAAGAAUUUAACUUUACCGUCUCAGUUGGUUAGAGCUUCGUGCUGAUAACGUGUUAUAAAACUCUAGUAAAGUAUAGAAAUAUACUCUUAUAAUUGCUGCAUAAAUUUAGAGAGAAUAAGUAAGAGAGAAAAGAGAGAAAUUCUUCAGAGAGAAUUCUUAUUAUUUCCUUCAACUUUCAUUCUUUUAUAUAGGAGAAGAAUAAGAAGAGGUGUAUGAGAGAAGCCAUUAGGAAGUGUAUGAGAGAAGCCAUCAGGAGGUGUAUGAGAGAAGUCAUCAAGAAGUGUAUGAGAGAAGCCAUCAAGAGAAUCG
rnacentral:lncRNA from 1 species